GCGACGUAUCGCUGUCUCGGCGGCGGCGGCGGCGGCGUCGUAGUCGGUCCGCGUGGCCAUGCGCGCCGAAACGUUCGCCGGUCGCAUCCUGCGCGCCCGGCACAGUCACGUGUGUAUCGCCGCAAAGGAUGCGGUGUCCUGCCACAGCCACCGUCACCGUCGCCACCACCACCGUCGCCACCACUAACGCCACCGCUAACGUCACCACCGCCACCGCAGCCGCCGACGUCGUUUUUCUAUUGUUAUCAUUCGACGACAACGCGUCGACAGCGGCGCACCGGUGCACUGGUGGUCGUCCGUCGUCGCCGGCCUCAUAAAACGCGACCACGCCGCCGCACACACGUCGUGUCGGCCACGACAGACGAGCGUGUGGACACCGCCGCCGCCGCCGCCGUCAUCAUCCGAUGUCCGAUUGCGACGCAUCGCACACGACCACACAGAAUCAAUUCAGCUCGGAGUAAUGUUUAGCCACAGUGUAUUUUAAAGGAAACAAAUCGCUUUUUCACUAUAUUAUGGCCAUUCUCCAAUCUUGCUGUUGUUUUCAGUCGCUUAGAACGGGAUGUUAUGCCAGCGUCAUUUAUGCAAUGG